AUGCGUUUUACUGCCUGGAGGCUCAAACACCAUAGAAGUUGGCGGACUCGAGGCGCAGAGCGGUUAUAUGUAAAUUACGGAUGCGCUGAGCCAAUCAGUGGGCGCGCGGAGGUAGUGGUGAGAUGCUUUUUACUGGAGUGUGGAAGAAAUGUGAGAAAGAGGUGUCUUAGAUGAGAGGAGACAAGACUGGACUACAUGGAUCAAGGGAGAAGAAAACGCCGAAAAGAUCGUUAAAAAGGAAAAGAAGGAAAGAUUACGUGUACAUCCAUACUAUGUUCAGUCAAGAGAAUGAUUCUCUGUGGGCCAGGUGAAUCUCAGUUGAUACGAGAAGAUGAAGGUUUAACACAAUGAGACCUGCUGCUGCUCAGCUGCUUCCCAGCAGUUGUGAUACAGUGCUCACAUGCAUUUGUAUUAUGGCAAACUCAGGUAAGUGAUAUUUGUUUUUUAUUAUCUAGAAAAGCGUGUGGGUGAGGAAACCCAAAAGGUGGGUUUGAGGAGCCAUCGGACUGCAAGCUUGCAACCUGCAUAGCACAGGAUUCUGUCCCAGGAGGAAACUGAAGCUGACUUGGUCCUGUGCUGUAGUAACGACACGUCACUGCUUUGGAAAAACAAUAAAAAGAAGAAAGAAUAAAGAAAGCACUGAGAAUUCCAACGCCAUAAAAAGAUAAGAAACAGAAUGUAUUUUGAGUGAAAAUGGAAAAGUCUUGUGUUAUGCAAGGCCAAAAUCUCCAAAACAGGUGUGUUCCUAACAGCAUGGCACUGAGCAUGGAUGAAUUCAUUGCAGCUGAGGUACUCUUAGGUUCUGAUUGGAACAGUUUGUGGGUACAUCUUACAGAUGUUCCAGCUCAGAUAUUACUGCCUCAGGCCUGCACUUGUACCAUUGGUUCUUGUGGUUUGGCUGAACUGGAGCAAAAGGAACAGAAAGUCACAAGGAUUGUUUACAAAGAAAAAUGUAUGAAGGGGGAAUGCAGAAACAGUUGAACAAAUAAAGAGGUAAUGAAGAGAAGGAGAAUCAGUGAGUCAUAAGUGAACAUGGACCAACCUUCAAAGGAAGCGAUGGAUGCGUGUAGGUGGCAGAAUGCUUGGAUGUUACGUGGAAGGUAUUUCAGUGCUGGCAUUUGAUUUGAAAGAACCACCACGCAGGUCUACUUUCUACUAAUUUACAUGAAAUUACUAACUCUCCUCUAAUUUGUAUGAGGACAUUUCAGAGCUCUGCGUGUGAUUUGCGAAGGCAAUUUGUGCCAGUGGAAAGGUGUACACACAGCAUAUGAAUGAGUGCAAGGGAACUUGAUCAAAAUUCCAGUCUCAUGUAUUUUUUCUGAACACUUGCUGCACUCCUUUCGGAUCUGGAAAAUUGCAGACUGACAUAUCUCUGGAUUUUUUAUGUUGUGAUUCUUUUUUCCUAAGAUCUACGCCCUACUGGUUCUGGGAAACUUGUGACCUCUGCAUUUUUAAUUAGAACUUGUAACAUUUUCCAUAGCAACAUAUUUUGAUGUCGCAAAUACAGAACCUGUCAAAUCAAACAAUUUCCAAGUGCAAAGCUACGGUCUUCUGGUCAAUUGAAGUCCAAGUACAUAAAAACACUGAGAUGCAAAGAAGACUGAAAAUUAUUUGUUGGUUGACUCAUACCUUUGAUCUUCAUAAUUAAAAAAUCAAUAUGGAUAUAAAAGAAUUACAUUGCAUGCUGGAGUGGUUUAGAUGAAGAACUCGGUACUAAUUUCAUUGCAGAUGAGAGCAGAUAGAAUCCAUCUGUGUGACUGGUGUGCCAGUACUAAUAUGGUACAAAGGAAAGGAACUAUUUCUAGGAAAUAGUCGAGAUAUGGAAAAACUUCACUCACAUGAUGAACUGUGUGAGCAGGAAGUGAAGAAAAAUCUGAAACAAGGCCUGAGUUCAGAUUUCAAGAGACCCACAAUAUUAGGAGGAAUAAUAGAAUUUGAUACGAUGCCUUAAGAAAAGCAGUGUAACUUAGCACUUAAAUAUGUAUAUGAAAAAUAAAUCACUUAUUUAUGAUACAUGCCUCGCAAGUGCCAAGUAAGACUUCUGUCAAGUUUGAAGAAGAUAAACUAAGAAUUUUUGUCAGUCAGAUGCACUUACCCUUCCUUUUCCUGCUUUAAGCUAAGACUAAUGGCCUAGGAAGGCAUAUUUUACUGCCAUUGUUAAGACUGCAAAAGGUAAUCACCUUCUGCAAGGACAUCCACGUGUAACUGUUUGUCACACCAGCAGCCAAGAGACAUGGAUGUGAUCAUCAAGUUUUCUUAAAUCAAAUGAAUGGCUGAAUGCCAUGAACCUUUCAGGAGGAAAAGGCAAGAGUCAGUGUGAAACACGGUAAGAACUUCUUUGUUUCUGGUAGCAUUGGGUGUGUGACUGCCAUCCCUUUGCUUAUUGCAUCUAUUUCCACAUUUCUGCAAAGUAAAAGAACCCAACGCACUGGAAUAUUAAGGUAAACGUGGUGUGUUUUAACCUUGCAUUGCAGAUAAGGAAUUCCUGGGGUUCCUGAAUCCUGCAUGAUUCCAGGCACCCCACCUGAGUGUGCAUAACGGAAAGGGGAACAAAAAUAGAUUUUUCUGUUUCCUAGCAAGAAUCUGAUAGUUCCCCUCUACUGCCUUUGGUGUAAAAGAAAACCAGAGUUCAGCAUUCUAGAAGAUGUAUUAUAGCAGCCUGAAAGACUUAUAGAGUAUACAAAGAGAUGACAGUACUUCCAUGACGGAGAUUUUCUGCUUUAGAAUGAAGUGAAAAAACAACAGCAACAACAACAACAACAACAACAACAACAAAAAACCUCCUAAAAUUGUUAUAACAGUAAUUUAAAAAAAAAUUGUUUAAACUCCACAACUUGAUACAAAAAGCAUUGCUACGAAAGGUUUGAUUUUCAAGAAAUCAUUUUUAAACUUACUUAUAAACUUAUUUAAAACAAGAUAGAAGCCUCUGCUGCUAUCUAUGACAUUCACUUCCAUAGUAGGACAGCUGAUUUGCAACUAUUGUACGAAAGAUACAGAAAGUGUCACUUAAGUGAAAAAAAAACAACAAUUAUUUUAAGGACAAAUAGUAAAAAUUGAAUGUUUUGGAGCUUAGAGAAACAGAGUUUCAAGGAUUUUGCCCUCCAGUGCAAACUGCUCAUGCUUAUGUUGUAGGAGCAUCUUGACUACAAGAGUCUUAGUGGAAGAAAACUGGCAUUGCAUUUAUAGAAAUGUAUUUAAUUCUGUGUUUGCAGUUUUCCCAGCUUCAUCCAUAUAUGCUGGCCUCGAGGGCCCUAAAGAUGUCACAAUUUUAAACAGUCUUAUAAAUCUAGGAGGGGAAAUGAGCUGUCUCUCAAACAGAGAGCCUUGGAGAAUGUCUAGGGGGCUUCACCAGCGGAGCUGCUGAAAACAAAGCUAUGAUUCAGGGGUCUCUGACCUUUCCCAGCCCUCCUCCACCAGUGUCAGCCUGCAGCCUGCUCUUUAAAAUUUUCUGCUCACCCAGGGAGCAAAAUUAGAAAUCUUCUCCAGGGAGAGUUUUUCUUCCAUCAAGCCCCUCAUCAGUCCACUGAGGCAUGGAAACCAAAAAGGAAAGUCAGUUAAAAGAAUGUGUGCUGCUUGGUAAGGAUUUCCCACAGCAGAGUGUAAAUGUCCAAACCAGCUCAUCAGCAGAGUGCCAGCCUUUCCUGUAGGUCUGGGUGCUGUCUGUACUGUGGUGGUAUAGAAAAGUGCCAAACGCCGUGCAGGUGAUGCGUGCAUCAACACAGCAGAUGUGCAGGUGUGUUUGAACUGCUUAACAUCAGCACUUAUCAAAUCUUGAAGACACACUAUGACAAAUAAAAGCAUUCAUUCAGAUGUGCAUGGCAUUUCGUGAAUGGAAUCAUUAUUAUCUUCUCCAAAAAUUUUUGGUCUUAUGUUUAAUAUAAUAUAAUAUAUUGCUUCUUGGAAACAAAUCCUUGUUAGUCUUGUUUGUUUUUUUUUUUUUUGGGGGGGGGUGUUCCUAAUAGUGGAUCACCACAGAACAGGGUGCAGUUGAUAAAUACCUCAAAUACCUGAAAGGUGAUUGCUGUAGAGCAGGGCUGGUCUCUUCUCACUGGUGACAGGACCAGGGGAAAUGGCCUCAGGUUGUGCCAGGGGAGGUUUAGGUUGGAUAUCAGGAAGAAGUUCUUUACAGAAAGGGUUGUUAAGCACCGGAAUGGGCUGCACAGGGAGGUGGUGGAGUCACCAGCCCUGGAUGAGUUUAAAAUCCAUCUGGAUGUGGUGCUCAGGGAUGUGAUUGAGCUGCCGUUAGAGUUAGGGUAGGAUGGGCAGGUUGUGGUUGGACUUGGUGAUCUUUAAGAUCUUUUCCAACCUGAUCAAUUCUAUGAUUCUAUGAUCUCCUUCUGUAAUAAAUUCCAGUUUACACUGCAGCAAGUAAAUGUAGCAAAUAUUGAACCUCCAUCCAAUACAAACUGCCUUAACAUAAGUGGUGAAUCAUACCAAACAUCUGCUUAGCUAAAUAUCUCAUUUCCUACAAUAAUGACUAAAGCAUAAGCAUGGAAAUGCAUAAGAUUAGGACACACAUCAUAUGAACGGCUCCACAACAUUAUCUCACUCUCCAGAAACUCGCAUUUUAGGAAUUUCUUAAAUCAGGAGACAGCAGCAGUCCUCUCAGGAUUUCCUUUCCAGGAAUGUGUUCUCCCUUGAACUCCUGCAAACUUUCCAUGCCUGUGACAUUCUGCAGCAAGAAGUUCAGCGCUGAGCUGUCUGUCACAAGGGAAAGUCGUCUUCUCUUUACUCUGAGACCAGCUCUGUUGCCCCCUACUUCUCAUGGUGUAGAAAACACACCAGCAUUACCUUUGCUAUGUUUCUCAUGACCCUAAACAAUUCUGAUCUAAUUCUCUUUUCACGCCUUGUUGCCCAUCUUCUAAACCCAUCCCUGCAGUGUAUUGGGACCUCUGCUUUCACGUCACGACAGUCCUUUCAGUACUGAACUGUGCUUUCUGAAAUAUGUGGCUAUGAUUUUGAAUGAUUUUGAUAUAACUUCAGACUGGAAAAAAAAAACCCAGAGUGACUUACUCCAAGCAAACAAGAUAACAGGAUAGUUUCUUCCCUGCUCUGUGGCUCUGUCUGCAAUACUAAAUGCUUUUACUGUUGGACAGCCUCACUAUACUGCAGUCCUGUAAUUCAAUUACACAGAAGAGAUGUAGAACAUGGAAAUUUGGUCAAGCAGAAUGUGCUGAAGUUAUCAUAGUUACAUCACUUAUAGAACUUCAUAAUUAAAUGGUUUAGCAAGACCAAAUGCACUACUGUAUACAGUCAUGGUUUAUACUUCUUUAUAGAUAUGCAGUUAAAGAUUACCUGUCACCAGAGUGAGUUCAGGUCAUGGAGACAUCACACUAAGGACAAAUGAAAUUUACUUGAAAGUCUCCUGGAACUAGAAGACAAAAAAACCCAACCAAGUGAAAAUGAAACUUGUGCAUACCUGAAAGCUCAUUGGGAAUUGGAUUUUUUUUCCCAAGUCUUUAAGGAGCCUUAUAGGAUUCACUGCUGUAACAACCAUUUCACUUCAGAGCCUCAGGGCUUUAUGUGCUGAACAGCUGAGCCCUUCCAAGACUGCUGCAUCUCUGUCUUUCUAGAGACUUAAUUAUUUUUAAAGCAAAAGGGUUAAGAUUACAGCUGAUGGUAGCACAGGAGAUGCACAGAGUUUUAUCCACAUCGCUGUUUUAAAUACGGCAUCCAGGCUCUGCUCUCUCAUCUUUCUAAACUUUGAAUCUGGCUCUUUAUGUAAAGGAUCUUGAAUAUAAAAGACCACACUAGAACAUCACCUAUUAUUUGGACUGGGUGGGAGGUGAUAUUUUCAGCAGCAUCCAAUUUUUAUAGGACCUCUUUAUGUCCAAGAUUCCUUAGUACUUAUUUGGUUAUGUACUCGUCCUCUGGGAGUCUGUCUGAGAACUUUCUGCUGUGGUUUUGUUUGGUAUUUGAAUUAGCACUCAAUUGCUGUUUUACGUUGUUCAGUCAUGCCUUAUCCUCCCCGUCCCCUGCCUCGCCCCUGAUGAAAUUUGGGUUUCUUUCACUGUGUUUGAAGAAUUUCUUAUCAGGCAUUAACCCUCUGAGCCCACAGAUUAACCAUCCUGGCAGAAGUAAAGCCUAAAAUUUGAAAGCAAUCAAUAAAAGUGAAACAAUGACACUAUCUGAAAAUAAAUGCUGCCGAGAUGGAUCAGCUUACACUGCUUUAAGGGCUAUAUGGGAUUUGUUCUCAUCUGGGAAAUAAUUUGCUAAUGCAAUAUGGAUUUAAAGUCCACUUCAACCUAAACCUUUCUAUGAUUCUAUAUCUAAAAUACACCAAUCUGUCAAAAGUUGUGCCAGGUGAUCCCUUACACUGCAGCUUAAUUCAGCAGAAGGAAAAUGCCACUCUAUACUUUGUUUGGACAGCCUGGGCUUGUACCAGGUCUGGAGGUUUGUGGCCCUGCCUGUAGCAGGGGGGCUGGAACUUGAUGAUCCUUGGGUUCCAACCCAAGCCAUCCUAUGAUUCUGUGUUUAUAUUUCAGUUUAAUAACAUUUGAAGAACCAAAGGUAUAUUCUCAUCAAAGAUUUCUCUUUUCCCAAAAGCAGCAUCCAAAGGAAACCAUAGAAUGCUGCACACCAGUUUUACUGUCCUUAACUUACUUAGUUGUCCCAUGUUUUGCACUGCUUCCUGUUCUUUUAGGUAUUUCAAAGGACAGUUGAGUAUUGUGAAAUGUGGUUGUAAUUGUAAAAAAAAAAAAAGAGAGAAAGAAAAAAAGUAAUCCUUCAAAAUAUUGUGUGAAACAUAUUGCCUUCAAUAUUUAUGCAACAGAUGCUGAUGCUUUGCCCUAAGGUUAAUGUGGACCAUUUAGCAUCUGUUAUUGAGUCACCGUGGCAGAGAUUAGAACGUUAUGUUUGUAUUUAGAUUAUCUGUUGCAAACACAUCUGGGUGACCAUCCUGGGAUUAAUUUGUUGAAGUUUGACAUUUGCGCACUGUCACCUUAUUCUGAUCUGGUCCUCUCAGGGUCUGUUGUCAAUUCCAUAACUACCUCCCCCCAUUCAGCUGAAGGAAGGGAAAUAAGAAAAUUGAAAGGUCAGACUUCUGAAGUCAUCUUCGCCAUGUGCUUAGCAUUUACAUCAUCAAAUUAAUGGAAUAACUGCAACCACAAGCACAAAAGAUAAAGGACAGAAGCUCUUUUUCCUUCGCAGUACAAAUCCUUCUCACACAGAAGCUCACACUGAAUCUUUUCCCAGCUGUACAGGAUUUACUUCCCAUUCUCUUCCAAGAUGCCAGAAACUCAGCCUCUAGCUAAAGCUUGCUCAGACAACUCUUUUUUGUUUCUCUUGGUGAAGCAGACGCACCACAUUCUAAUCACUUGCUCUUUCCACCAUGAGAAAUGUUCUGGGACAGAAACAGCCCCAAAAGAUUGAAUGUUAUCACUUCUUUUCUCGUUAUGCCAGUUUACACCACUGUUGUCAGUCAGUGUAAGACACAUGAAUAAGUACAAGCUGUGGCAAAUUCCUGGAGAUUGCCUUGCAGUGAUCUGGAAGCCAACCUGCCUUGCCAUGGAGUCCAAAGACAGUCAUGCCAUCCAUCUCCCUGAAGAAGAACUGGACCCUGAAGUCUGAAAACUGCAAUAUUUUGUAUAGUUCUGCCCACAUACCAAAUACCCUUAGCAUCCAAAAUCCACUUGGCAGGUGUUCGAUCAGGCACUGAGUCUCAUAUGUAUGAACCACUCCGUGCUACAAUGCGAGUCUGUUCACCAGUGUGUAACCAACUUGUUAAUGUGAGCAAAUGAAGCAUCAGAGAAGGGUAGGGAAGAGGGAAAAGAAUAAGGUCAGCUCUAUAAAGUAAGUAAUCUGUAAGGAUUAAGCAGUGCUUCUGUGUAGAGCUUCCUCCACCAAAAAAAAAGACAAGAUCCGGUGCUCUCAACAUAAACUACUAUGAAGACUGGCUGACCUCUGUGCCUUUGGCAAUUGGAGCAAAACUUCUGUGUCAUGCAAAAGGUUAUCAGGGUAUCCCAAAAAAGACAUAAAACAUAUGGUAAGAUGCUAAAUGCAAUGUUAUCCAUGUAACAUCUACAGUCAUCUGGGAUAGGCAAACUCAGGCCAAGGCAACAGAAGUUGAAGUUGAUGUCCUAGGGUCAAGAUUAAAUUUAAAUAAGACGCGCAGUGCUUGUUUGUUAGCUGAGAGAAACGUGAUGUCACUCAUUCACUCUGCAAACACUCCCACUGAGUUACACUCAGUGCUAAACUGAGAAAUGUCCUUAAGAAUGUCAUAGGUGAGGAAAUGAGCAGGAGAAACGGUACCUCCAUUUUGAUACCUGGGUUAAUGGAAACUUAUUUGAAACACUGGAAGUUAUGUAAUAGGGUGCAACCAUUUAUCAGGUGUUGCCUAUUGAGAGGGAGAACUAUACAGAGCCACAUCUGACUGUAAAAAGCUUCCUGUAAUGUUAAUUUACUUUGAGAUGGCACCUGGAAAGAACGUCAUCUUCUGAAAGCAUCUGCUGUAAUGCACAGCCCAAGAAAUGCACACAAACAGCUGUAAUUACUAAUAAAAACACGUGUUUUUGUGAGUGCUGGAAAGCCUUCAAUUUAGCAUCUCUAUAAAUGCCGGAAAGCUCUUAGAAUAAACGACCAGAAUUCCUCCUUCUGGCAAGAGCCCCACCUGAUGGCUCUACCAAAGAAGAGCAUUGGAAGACAUUUUUUGCAGCUGGCGAAGGAAAAUACAAGUUUAGGUGAAGAAUCUGUCACAGCUUCCAGCAUGAGAAAGGAAGGCAAGAGACAGCUUGUCUGAGCCUGCCUUCUUGCAGCAGGAGGGCUGUGGAAGUGUUUUUGAUGUCAGACAAAACCAUUCCACCAUGGAUAAAAUGCAACAGAAAUGGACGAGGAGCAGUUUUGGGAAGUGAUGCUUUUUGAUUGUGAAGGUGCUGUGGUGAACAUUUCAGUGUCAGCUUUGUGAAAUUCAAAAUCUGAGUGUCUCUCCAUGCUCUUCAACUUCUAUAAAGGCUCCCAGCGUGGCUUACUUUCUUUAACAAUCCUUAACUACUAUCUGCAGGCACCAACUGUCUGUUAUUAUUUCUGCAGUUCAACAAUACAAAGCAAAAACAGAAAUACAAAAGAACAAAAGUAGCUCAUGAAGUCCAAAGACAUGCAUAAGAUUUGAUGCACAACGAAUUAAUUUCUUCUCAUUCGGUCCCCGCGAGGACGGCGGCCCCAGGGUUGUGUGGUCCUAGAGCUUUAAAGUCAUUGAAAUUCUAAUCUUUAAAAAACACUGAAAGAUGAACUUUGACUUACAAACCUUUAAAUAAAAAUAGCAUUUUUACUAAUGUGCUCUUCCCAAGUGCCUGCGUCUUCGUAGUAGGUUUCCCAUCCUAAUACUGUAUGUUUUUGCAGCUGGCAAUUGACACUGCCAGUGAGCCUUUAUGUUCAAUGUUAUUUAAUAUAUUCCCAUCAGAAAGUUAUUUUUACUUUUCAGUUUCAGUAUCUUCUUGAAGUGUCCUGCAUAUAACGUUCAUAUUGUAAUUUGCAUUUUUUCCCAUAGGAUAAAAAAAAAAAAAAGAUUCAAAAAACAAUAUUGAAAGAAUUCAGACCCAUUUGCUGAGAAAAAGAAUUUUACAGAAUGGAAAAAUGCU